rnacentral:rRNA from 1 species
CGGGUGAGUAAUGUGUAGAGAAUCUGCCUUUGAGCGGGGGACAACAGUUGGAAACGAUUGCUAAUACCCCAUAUGAGCGUACCUGAAAUGGUAUUCUUGAAAACUCCGGUGCUCAAAGAUGAGUCUGCAUCUGAUUAGCUUGUUGGCAGGGUAACGGCCUACCAAGGCGACGAUCAGUAGCCGGCCUGAGAGGGUGGACGGCCACAUUGGGACUGAGACACGGCCCAGACUCCUACGGGAGGCAGCAG